rnacentral:lncRNA from 1 species
GUAAGUGCAAAGAAUAUAUUUGCAUAUCUUUUUUUACAUGAUAAAUGAACUUAAUCAUAUAUAUAUAUAAACAACAGCGUCUAGGCAGCGUCUAGGCAUUUUGUUAUUCUUUGAAACAUACAGUCGGACAAUAUGUAUAGAUAUCUGUUUGCAACGCUCGUGGUGUUUUACCUGGUACGUUCGUUCGCAGACGGUUAUCCUUGGCCGUGUGGACUUUGUGUUGGCGAUCCAUGUGAUGACAGCCUAGAAAAAGGAGAUGAGUGCGCAGAAGGCAAAACUUGUCAGGAAUGUUACGUAAGCGGUGAAAAAACCUGCAAGUCUGGUUUGUAGUCAAACUGAUGACAGCUCCGAAAAAAAAUAACGUAAAGAACCUGAUAAGAGACAUUCUACCAGACUUAUGCUUUUGUUUGAAAUAUAGAAAUAACUUUCAUUUGAUAUACUAACAGUAAAGAGAAAAUAUUUAUUUUGUUAUUUGCAGUGUUUAAUAUAUAAACUUUGUUGAGUUCUGUAAAAAGAUGUUUUCGUAAAUUAGACACACAGUAGAAAUGUGAUGUAACCCUAAAUGAAUGAAGUUGUCAUUCUCUGUAUCAAACGUAUCAACUUUAAUUUCUUUUAUAAUGUUUUAGAUAUUGUAUAAUUGUUCAUUUAUCAUGUUUGUUUAACGAAGUUCGAAAAUUGUGCAAAAGGAAUUACUAGUCCUCUUGUAGUAUACCACCGAUGAAUAAUGAUUGUUUUACCGUCUUCUAGAAUGACCAAUAUCUGACAACCCUGUUGUACAAAGGACAAAUCUUAAUGGUGUAAUUUCAUACUUUUACGCAUGUAAUAAAAUGUUAUGUACCAUUAA